rnacentral:rRNA from 1 species
UACGAGGGGGGCGAGCGUUGUUCGGAAUUAUUGGGCGUAAAGGGUGUGUAGGCGGUUUGGUAAGUCUUAUGUGAAAUCUACAGGCUCAACUUGUAGUCUGCAUGAGAAACUGCCGGGCUUGAGUAUGGGAGAGGUGAGUGGAAUUCCUGGUGUAGCGGUGAAAUGCGUAGAUAUCAGGAGGAACACCUGUGGCGAAAGCGGCUCACUGGACCAUAACUGACGCUGAUGCACGAAAGCUAGGGGAGCAAACAGG